ensembl:lncRNA
GGGGUCCUGAGCUUUUGUAGCAGUGACCGCAGUCAGUUUCUGGAAAGGGUGCUCGUCUUUGAGUCGGCCUGGAAGAAGGAGAAGGACCUCGCGUCCAAGGAGAUAGAGAAGCUGCGCGUGUCCAUCCAGACCCUGUGCCGCAGUGCGCUGCCCCUGGGCAACAUCAUGGACUACAUCCAGGAGGACGUGGAUGCCAUGCAGAGCGAGCUGCAGCUGUGGCACAGCGAGAACCGGCAGCACGCCGAGGCCCUGCACAAGGAGCAGAGCAUCACGGACUGCGCCGUGGAGCCCUUGAAGGCGGAGCUGGCCGAGCUGGAGCAGCUGGUCAGAGACCAGCAGGACAAGAUCCGCGCCGUGAAGGCCAGCAUCCUGAGGAACGAAGAGAAAAUCCGGAAAAUGGUGCACAGCAUCAACUUGAGUUCCCGACGGUGAAGGCACACGACGCCGAGGACUGAACGUCGCUGUCCUCGGUGUGCGAGUAAAGCGGAGAAGAUAGGACGGCGUUUCCCCUGAGGUUUCGGGUUGGAGGCAGGGAGCGGGGUUCGCUGUUAGCCCGCUGACUUUCCGCGCCUGCAGCCCAGCUUAUUCCGUGUCUGAGAAGACCGUGCCUGCCCACCUUCCUCUGGCUAGCGUGCUUGCCAGUUAUAAAGAGCUCUGCAAAGCGCCCGUGCGAGAAGUGUCUUUACGGGCCUGUCCUGGUAUUUCUGCGGCAGGCUGCUCUGUUCGGUUCUGUGCCGGGUCCUCUGGCGGGAAGCCCAAGGCGUAGGAGACCUUGACCUUGGACUCAGCCCAGGGAGGGCUCCUCUGCUGAGCGAAGGAGGCUGCACCUCCUGACGAGCACUUGCCAGGGAGGCCCGAAGAGGAACCCGUUGCAUUUUCAGCUCAUUUCCACUUGGAAAGGCUUCGGUUCCGCUCACGUCCUUAGAAGGUGCCUGUGGCCUUCUGUUUUCAGCCUCUUGGGAGCUGCAUGCGCUGCUUCGUGUAAUUUUCCUCUGGGUCUCUGCUCGCUCUGGCUUGUAUUUCCAGCCCUGGCAGUUCACACACUUGGCAGGGAGCCCUCGGAGUGGCUUUCACGGCUGUCGUCUGCACGGGAGCUCGUCACAGGCCGUAGCCUCACUCUCCCCAGCAUUUACCCUGGCCUCCCCCACGCACCUCCCAGCAUAGCUGGAGGGAGUCCUCGGCCCUGCAGAUGGGGGGCUGCUCGCCACCUGUUCCUUCCCACAGGCGCACACCUGUGCCCCGAGAGGCCGGGAGCUUGGGGGAAACUGCAAAAGGAAGAUUGUAGCGGGGGCGGGUUUACUGAAGGUGUUGAUGUUACCAUUUUUUAAAUUGUUUUUAAAAGCAGAAGGUUUUUUUUUAAAGCAUCGUUUACGUGUAGUUUUCACCACAUGUGCUGUUGUAAAUGCUAAGGCCUGAGGUUUGCGGGUGAAGACUCCCCUGCCUGGAGACAGGGGUCCUCAGGUCUGGGACCUGACCCUUUGCCUCUAGAUACCGCGUGUACCGCGCAAGCCAAGGAAUUGCCUGAGGAAGCUUUGUUUCUUUAAAAGGUCAGCACAAAGGGCACAGGUAAGGUUUUCUUAGGGUAAUUUCCAAGCUGGACCUGUUACAGGGAGGUCGUGUGAUUUUCUGAGCUGAGUUCAAGAUCAGCUUAUUAAGAUCUGGCAUCUUGAAACACCGGUCCUUUCCCCGCUCUGCACGGCGCCUGGGAUUCUGUUGGAUCAGAUGGCCCGACACCUGUCGUUGGGGGAGGGGAGGCGCGUCCGCUCCCGGCCUUCCCUCGCGUGUCCGUCCUCGGUCCCUGCGACGCGGCCGCAACCCCACGUGGGCCCUGUCUUGCCCCAGGUGAAGCUGUCUGCCUUUUCUCAGUCUGUACAGAAGAGUAGAGUUUUUGUGGCAAAAGAGUGCAGACCUUGUAUGCAAGUAAAAUUUUGUAUGAAGUAGUUGAUCAAAUUGUAUCAUAAAAUUUAUUUUUCUUUUAUACAUAAAUCAUUACAAAUAAUCACCUAUUUUUCUAUAAGUGCAUGGGUUGCAAGUUCGGUUCACACCUGGAAAAAGCAUUUAUAAGCGUUUGGAUUGUUUAAAUGUUAAAGUGUGUGCGGUUUGUUUUUCACUGAAGCAAGUUCAGGGAACUGUAUCUUUUCAUUCAUAUUGUGACAGCACUUUUCUGUAUAAAUGGAAGUUCCUUAGGGCAGAUAAGCAUUUAUCAGAAACUUUAAGAUCGCUCAUGAAGUUUUAGAAAGAUUCUGCAUGAAGGUAUUACUGUAUCUUUUCAAAAAUGAAUUAAAUUCCGAUGUUAUUUAUUGUUUUGAUAAAAUACACCAAUGGGAUUAU